CGUGCCCCUCCCCCUUUCUUCUACCUCUUCUCUUUCGUUUCCUCUUCCCAUGACCUACCACAGCCGCCUCCCACAUCUUUCUUUUUCUUCCUUUCCGUUCGCCUGAAGCCACCGCUGCACCCCAAAAACUCGUCAUCCGUUGAACUGAGGUUGGAGCUAAAUAGCUCGUCGUCCGUUCCGAUUCGCGAAGCCGCCGUGCAUUUCAUCUGUGCGUAACUCUUUUGAUCUGCGAUUCUUUGUCGCUCACCAUCAGUGCACCGUGACUCUUCGCUCGCACGUACUGCUCCUUCCAACUGCAAAUCGCAAGCCGUUCUACCUCUGUCUACAAAGCACCGUGACGCGACUCCCUAUCUUUUACCCGCGAGUUGCAAGUUGACCCACGCUCCAAAUUAUUUUGCACGACUUUUCGUUUAGGUUCGAUCACCGAUGCCUCUGUUUUGCUGUGAAUCGUCGAAGUUUUGUUGGUAAAAUUGAAGUUGUGGGUUGUAGUUGUUUCAAAAACUAAUUCAAGUAUUAUGGUUGGAUUGAUUAGUUAAGUUGUUAAUUGAUUUUGGAAGGUGUUGAAAGUAGUGUCGAGUUCUUUGGAUUCACAACCAAAUUGUAGAUUUGUUAGAGUUCGAUUCGCCAAUACUUUGGUUUCCUUAGUUGGAUUUUAGUUUGAUCGAGAAAUUUGGGUAACAUGAAGGUAAGAGGUUUCUACUACCGGACUCUACCAUGGAUUUCAAAUAUGUUGACUGUGUGGAUGUCUCUGAUCUGAGUAUGGGUGUCAUAUAUGAUCUGUAUAUUGAUGCAGAAAUGAUGAUGUAUAUGUAAUAUGUAAUAUGUAAUAUGUAAUAUGUAAUAUGUAAUAUGUAAUAUGUAAUAUGUAGAUGUAGAUGUAGAUGUAGAUGUAGAUGUAGAUGUAGAUGUAGAUGUAGAGGUAGAUGUGAUGAAAAGUAGGUUAUGGCUGUCUAAUAUGUUUUUGUGAACAUUAUGGAAAAUGUCUAAAAUGUGUGAUUAGUAUAUUAAAGUAUGGUUAGAGUAUUUUUGAACUGGAGGAGUAUUAUGUAUAUAGGUUGGUUGCUUGAUGUGUUGUUUUA